rnacentral:lncRNA from 1 species
UACUUAUUUUUAAUUAUGCUUUACUAUUAUAAAUAAGUACAAAUAAACGACAAGAAAGGAAUAAUUGUAUUUGAACUCACUGGAACACUAACAGUAUGGCUGACAUACUGUUCCAAAUAUUUGGAAAUUACUAAUUAGGUAAAUCUUUGAUCAUCUUUCCUUAAGUUCCAUUAAAUGACUCUGUGGUCUGUCAUAUAAAAGGACUGUUUAGAAAAUCUAAGAUCCUUCAGCUUUGAAUCUGUAAGCAGUGUAGCCACACUGGCUGUUGCAGUACACGAUUCCAGUGUCAUAAAUCUGCAAUUUUAACUGAAGUGGCGGGUGGUUUUUAAACUGUGUAAAAAGACCAGUAUUGUAUUUCAUUUGUCACUGUUGACAUUUUAAGUGCGCAUGUGUAUUUUAAAUCCACACUCUAAGAGCUUGGUGAAAAAUAUCUACAGUGUUCACUCUUUGGAGCAGGUCUAUACGACCAAAGAAGAUCGGAAGGUUGGAUUAUCUGGGUUAGCCAGAACAUGAAUCUGCCAGUCCUCAGUUUUUUGGGUAGAUUGAUGAGUACAGAUUUAAAGAUUAGCCCUGAGCUAACAUCCAUGCCCAUCUUCCUGUACUUUACAUGUGGGAUGCCUGCCACAGCAUGGCUUGCCAAGUGGUGCCGUGUCUGC